rnacentral:rRNA from 1 species
UAGCUAGUUGGUGGGAUAAAAGCUUACCAAGGCAACGAUGCGUAGCCGACCUGAGAGGGUGAUCGGCCACACUGGGACUGAGACACGGCCCAGACUCCUACGGGAGGCAGCAGUAGGGAAUCUUCCGCAAUGGACGAAAGUCUGACGGAGCAAUGCCGCGUGAGUGAUGAAGGUCUUCGGAUCGUAAAACUCUGUUGUUAGGGAAGAACAAGUAUCGUUCAAAUAGGUCGGUACCUUGACGGUACCUAACCAGAAAGCCCCGGCUAACUACGUGCCAGCAGCCGCGGUAAUACGUAGGGGGCGAGCGUUGUCCGGAAUUAUUGGGCGUAAAGCGCGCGCAGGCGGUCUUCUAAGUCUGAUGUGAAAGCCUACGGCUUAACCGUGGAGGGUCAUUGGAAACUGGAGGACUUGAGGACAGAAGAGGAGAGUGGAAUUCCACGUGUAGCGGUGAAAUGCGUAGAUAUGUGGAGGAACACCAGUGGCGAAGGCGACUCUCUGGUCUGUUUCUGACGCUGAGGUGCGAAAGCGUGGGUAGCGAACAGGAUUAGAUACCCUGGUAGUCCACGCCGUAAACGAUGAGUGCUAGGUGUCAGGGGGUUUCCGCCCCUUGGUGCUGCAGU